ACUGUGUGUGGUGGCAUGUGCCUGUAGUCCCAGUUACUUGGGAGGCUGAGGCAGGAAGAUUGCCUGAGCCCAGGAGUUCUGGGCUGUAGUGUGCUAUGCCGAUUGGUGUCUGCACUAAGUUUGGCAUCAGUAUGGUGACCUCCUGGGAGGAGGUGACCUCCUGGAAGUGGGAAACCACCAGGUUGCCUAAGGAGGGGUAAACUGACCCAGGAUGGGAAUGGAGCAGCUCAAAACUCCCAUCCUGAUCAGUAGUGGGAUCAUGUCUGAGAAUAGCCACUGCACUCCACUCCAGCCUGGGCAACAAUAGUGAGACCUCAUCUCUA
ensembl:misc_RNA Metazoa_SRP Metazoan signal recognition particle RNA